ACAUAUUAUUCGUUAUCAUCCAUCUACCUGUUCAUUACAUGAAAAUGAACAUAUUAUUACAAGAACUUAAAAUAUAAUAUAAAUAAUUAUUUUUAGUUACUGAAUGUAUAAAAUUCAGAUUUUGAAUACCCUUAAAUUGUUUCACAUGGCUUAAGUUUGAAUAUUAAUCCAAAAACUAACUAACAAACUAACUUAUCAACUAACUUACUUAUU